AAAUUUAGGUUAACACAAACCAGGGACCUUCAAAGCCCCAAAUAGGACCCCAAUCCUAAUUUCUG
rnacentral:tRNA from 1 species